rnacentral:tRNA from 1 species
CGGGGCGUAGCGUAGCCUGGCUAGCGCGCCUGAAUGGGGUUCAGGAGGUCGCGAGUUCGAAUCUCGCCGCCCCGA